CUUGAUCAUAAUCUGAAAGCUGCAACUGUAGACUGCAUAAUGCUGAGACGAAGAAGAAGAAGAAAUAAUUAAGAAUUGGACAUGGAAUUCCUUGGUAUUAUGCAUAAAUUAUUGGUAAUUUAUUUGGUCUGAACUUUGAUGUUUCUUUCCUUCCAAGUAAUGGAAAUAAAAAGGGACAGCUUAAGAAUGAUUCUAACUGAGUAGAGGUGACAGCUUCAGUGUGUAAUGUUCCCUUCCUUUUACUUGAGAUAGAAACCAUGUAGCAUAUUGAAGAACAGAGCAAAAAGGAGGAAAAUGCUGUUAUGUUAUAAAUCUCAAAUUUUGGCAGUUUUUGAAAACAUUGGUUGAAACUAGAUCAUAAACCAAAAAGUUUACAGGUGUAAUGAGGGUUUAUAAGCAAAAAAAAAAAACCAAAUGAUUACUGAAAAGGGACCUUAGCUAACUGAAAUUCCAAUUCAUAAGCAGUGAGUGUAGUGUAUUUGAAAAACUCCACUGCAAUGCUAUCCUACCCUCUCAGGGACUAUUUCAUGGUAGAAUUAACAUCUGGAUAUAUAUGAUUCAUGAGUAACAUAUCUAGAGAGCUCAAUAGUGUUACAUUUACUGACUUAUACAACUUGAUACGUUAUGUAACAAGUGGAGGC
rnacentral:lncRNA from 1 species